UACGGGGGGGGCAAGCGUUGUUCGGAAUUACUGGGCGUAAAGGGCGCGUAGGCAGCCUGCUAAGUCGGAUGUGAAAUCCCUCGGCUCAACCGAGGAACUGCAUCCGAUACUGGCGGGCUUGAAUCCGGGAGAGGGAUGUGGAAUUCCAGGUGUAGCGGUGAAAUGCGCAGAUAUCAGGAAGAACACCAAUGGCGAAGGCAGCUCUCUGGGACGGUACUGACGCUGAGACGCGAAAGCGUGGGGAGCGAACAGG
rnacentral:rRNA from 1 species